GACGAACGCUGGCGGCGUGCUUAACACAUGCAAGUCGAGCGGAAAGGCCCUUCGGGGUACUCGAGCGGCGAACGGGUGAGUAACACGUGAGUAAUCUGCCCUUGGCUUUGGGAUAACUACCGGAAACGGUGGCUAAUACCGGAUACGACAACCGUCUGCAUGGGCUGGUUGUGGAAAGUUUUUUCGGCCAGGGAUGUGCUCGCGGCCUAUCAGCUUGUUGGUGGGGUAAUGGCCUACCAAGGCUUCGACGGGUAGCCGGCCUGAGAGGGUGACCGGCCACACUGGGACUGAGACACGGCCCAGACUCCUACGGGAGGCAGCAGUGGGGAAUAUUGGACAAUGGGCGGAAGCCUGAUCCAGCAAAGCCGCGUGAGGGAUGACGGCCUUCGGGUUGUAAACCUCUUUCAGUACCGACGAAGCGCCGAUGAUGGUGGUGACGGUAGGUACAGAAGAAGCACCGGCCAACUACGUG
rnacentral:rRNA from 1 species